GACGAACGCUGGCGGCGUGCUUAACACAUGCAAGUCGAACGGAAAGGCCCUGCUUUUGUGGGGUGCUCGAGUGGCGAACGGGUGAGUAACACGUGAGUAACCUGCCCUUGACUUUGGGAUAACUUCAGGAAACUGGGGCUAAUACCCGAUAGGAGCUCCUGCUGCAUGGUGGGGGUUUGAAAGUUUCGGCGGUUGGGGAUGGACUCGCGGCUUAUCAGCUUGUUGGUGGGGUAGUGGCUUACCAAGGCUUUGACGGGUAGCCGGCCUGAGAGGGUGACCGGCGACAAGGGGACUGAGAUACGGACCAGACUCCUACGGGAGGCAGCAGUGGAGAAUAUUGCACAGUGGGCGGAAGCCUGAUGCAGCAACGCCGCGUGCGGGAUGACGGCCUUCGGGUUGUAAACCGCUUUCGCCUGUGACGAAGCGUGAGUGACGGUAAUGGGUAAAGAAGCACCGGCUAACUACGUG
rnacentral:rRNA from 1 species